rnacentral:lncRNA from 1 species
UCUUGCUCUGGCUCAGACAAGGAAAUCAUGGUAUAUACCUUGCUCACCUCUAAAGUAAAUAGUUUAAGAGCUCCAAUGCUAGUUUUAACUGUAUUCCAGAAAUAGCAGUCAUUAUUACACACCAUUUGUGUUGCAAUAGCCCACAGAGACCUUCGCCCAGACUGGUCGUGCUUGGCCUUUGUGCAGUAUGAACACAGUGAUAACAGCUCCUGCUGGAGAGAGGGUACCUUCCAGGAAGAAAGAAAACUGGAGGCCUGUGUCACUGUGUCCUUGUGUCACUGGAUGCUCUUCCUGGAAGUUCACACUUAAUUUUCUGAGGCUCUGGCUUCACGGGGAUUGCUGGUGAUGACUACAUGUCCACAAGGACAUGGACAACCUCACUACAGGACCUUACCUUCAAAGUGGAGUUUGACCCAGGUGUGAUGGCAACAGUAACAGUUAAAUACCCUAAAUCCAUGUACAUAAGACUUAAAGUUGUUACCACUUCUUAAAUGUCUCAGUUUCAAAUUUCUUGGGAUAAAAUGUCUUUGUAGGUCUUUGCAGAACACCUGGCCUGACAGAGCCUUGUUUAUGAUAGCAGCUUAGUAAGUGGCACACACCAAUGAAGAGGGAUCAGCACAAACAUUUGUGCAAGCAAAGAGAGUUGCACAAAUACUCACAGGCUGUGACAGUGUUGGGGAUGGGCUUAGGAAUAUGUGACAAAGAUCGUAGUCAAAGCAUUUUAUUCCCUUCUUUAAAGGCUUGCUAAUAUUUGUGUACCAAAAUCUAUUUCUUUUUUCUUAUGGAACAGUUUGAAUAUCCCUUUAUUAAUCACAGAACCACUAGAUUCUUAUUUGGGGCAUAGUCUGCACUGAAAACAUGGGUAUGAAUGGAGAGACGAACAGCAACACGCAGCCUACUGGCUGUAGCAGUGCCAAACUCAGCCCAGUGUAAUUGCCUCUGGUGACACACGCAUUUUAAUAUUAGUGGACAAUGUUUAAUCAGCCAAAUUAUUUUAACUGUGAGAACUUUACAAUAAGACAAUUGAAGGUAUCUUAACUGCUAUUUACCACUGGUUUUCUAGCACAUUGCUGUUAAAACUGGGUAAUUUUAGCUCUAUGAUGGUAACCUGGUGGUGACACAGGAAGACAAAUUGCUUUCUUAGGGUCAGUUAUGCUUUAAAAAAUCUUUAUAAUCAGUGUAACAAGUGGGUGCAAUUGCAAUAUCACACAUACAUAUUACAAAACACCUAGUAAAUAAUACAUUUGAAACGAGUUCUUAUCUUUUGCUCAGGGACAUCUAAAGUGUCAACCAGUGGAUAAAUAUCCAUUUUCUUUUAAGAGCAGUUUGUCAUUUUCUCUUGGAAUGAAAGAUUUUCCCAGAUUCAAGCACAUUUCCUUGCUGCAGUUAAAAGCCGAGUGAACAAAACUGUAUUUUUCAACUAAUAAAUCCUCUAAAAAGGAAAUCUCA